rnacentral:rRNA from 1 species
GACGAACGCUGGCGGCGUGCUUAACACAUGCAAGUCGAACGGAAAGGCCCUGCUUUUGUGGGGUGCUCGAGUGGCGAACGGGUGAGUAACACGUGAGUAACCUGCCCUUGACUUUGGGAUAACUUCAGGAAACUGGGGCUAAUACCGGAUAGGAGCUCCUGCUGCAUGGUGGGGGUUGGAAAGUUUCGGCGGUUGGGGAUGGACUCGCGGCUUAUCAGCUUGUUGGUGGGUAGUGGCUUACCAAGGCUUUGACGGGUAGCCGGCCUGGGAGGGUGACCGGCCACAUUGGGACUGAGAUACGGCCCAGACUCCUACGGGAGGCAGCAGUGGGGAAUAUUGCACAAUGGGCGGAAGCCUGAUGCAGCAACGCCGCGUGCGGGAUGACGGCCUUCGGGUUGUAAACCGCUUUCGCCUGUGACGAAGCGUGAGUGGCGGUAAUGGGUAAGGAAGCACCGGCUAACUACGUG